AAAUUGAAGAGUUUGAUCAUGGCUCAGAUUGAACGCUGGCGGCAGGCCUAACACAUGCAAGUCGAACGGUAGCACAGAGAGCUUGCUCUCGGGUGACGAGUGGCGGACGGGUGAGUAAUGUCUGGGAAACUGCCUGAUGGAGGGGGAUAACUACUGGAAACGGUGGCUA
rnacentral:rRNA from 1 species